AUUGAACGCUGGCGGCAUGCCUAACACAUGCAAGUCGAACGGAGGUAGGGGCAACUCUACUUCAGUGGCGGACGGGUGAGGAAUGCGUCGGAAUCUACCCUAUGGUGGGGGAUAACACAGGGAAACUUGUGCUAAUACCGCAUAAUGUCGAGAGACCAAAGCAGGGGACCGCAAGGCCUUGCGCGAUAGGAUGAGCCGACGCCCGAUUAGCUAGUUGGUAGGGUAAAGGCCUACCAAGGCGACGAUCGGUAGCUGGUCUGAGAGGAUGAUCAGCCACACUGGGACUGAGACACGGCCCAGACUCCUACGGGAGGCAGCAGUGGGGAAUAUUGGACAAUGGGCGCAAGCCUGAUCCAGCAAUGCCGCGUGUGUGAAGAAGGCCUGCGGGUUGUAAAGCACUUUUUGUUCGGGAAGAAAUCAUGCUGGUUAAUACCUGGUAUGGAUGACGGUACCGAAAGAAUAAGCAACCGGGCUAACUUCGUGCCAGCAGCCGCGGUAA
rnacentral:rRNA from 1 species